rnacentral:rRNA from 1 species
CACGUAGGGGGCGAGCGUUGUCCGGAUUUAUUGGGCGUAAAGAGCUCGUAGGCGGUUUCGUAAGUCGGAUGUGAAAACUCCAGGCUCAACUUGGAGACGCCAUUCGAUACUGCGAUGACUUGAGUCCGGUAGGGGAGUGUGGAAUUCCUGGUGUAGCGGUGAAAUGCGCAGAUAUCAGGAGGAACACCGGUGGCGAAGGCAAUCCCCUGGACCUGUACUGACGCUCAUGCACGAAAGCGUGGGGAGCAAACAGG